UACGUAGGGUGCGAGCGUUGUCCGGAUUCACUGGGUGUAAAGGGAGCGCAGGCGGGUUGGCAAGUCAUUGGUGAAAUUCUCAGGCUCAACUUGGGGACUGCCAAUGAUACUGCUGAUCUUGAGUACGGGAGAGGAAGACGGAAUUCCUGGUGUAGCGGUGAAAUGCGUAGAUAUCAGGAAGAACACCGGUGGCGAAGGCGGUCUUCUGGCCCGUUACUGACGCUCAUGCUCGAAAGCGUGGGGAGCAAACAGG
rnacentral:rRNA from 2 species